AGGGCACCACCAGGAGUGGAGCCUGCGGCUUAAUUUGACUCAACACGGGAAAUCUCACCAGGCCCGGACACUGGAAGGAUUGACAGAUUGAGAGCUCUUUCUCGAUUCGGUGGGUGGUGGUGCAUGGCCGUUCUUAGUUGGUGGAGUGAUUUGUCUGGUUAAUUCCGAUAACGAACGAGACUCUGUCCUGCUAAAUAGUUCCCGCGUCCUUUGUUGCGCGGGAAAUUCUUCUUAGAGGGACAAGCGGCGCUCAGCCGCACGAAAUUGAGCAAUAACAGGUCUGUGAUGCCCUUAGAUGUCCGGGGCCGCACGCGCGCUACACUGAAGGGAUCAGCGUGUGAUUGCCCCCGCCCGGAAGGGCAGGGUAAUCCGCUGAACCUCCUUCGUGAUAGGGACUGGGGCUUGGAAUUGUUGCCCACAAACGAGGAAUUCCCAGUAAGCGCUAGUCAUAAGCUAGCGUUGAUUACGUCCCUGCCCUUUGUACACACCGCCCGUCGCUACUACCGAUUGAAUGAUUUA
rnacentral:rRNA from 1 species